GACGAACGCUGGCGGCGCGCUUAACACAUGCAAGUCGAGCGAGAACCAGCCCUUCGGGGCUGGGGACAGCGGCGAACGGGUGAGUAACACGCGGGUAAUCUGCCCUCGGCAUCGGGAUAGCCCGGGGAAACCCGGAUUAAUACCGAAUAGCCUCCGGAGCCUUCGGGCGCCGGAGAAAAGGUAGCUUCGGCCUCUGGCCGAGGAUGAGCCCGCGGCGGAUUAGCUUGUUGGCGGGGUAACGGCCCACCAAGGCGACGAUCCGUAGCUGGUCUGAGAGGACGAUCAGCCACACUGGGACUGAGACACGGCCCAGACUCCUACGGGAGGCAGCAGUGGGGAAUCUUGCGCAAAUGCGGGAAACCGUGACGCAGCGACGCCGCGUGGGGGAAGAAGGCCUUCGGGUUGUAAACCUCUUUCAGGAGGGACGAAGCUACUCGGGUUAAUAGCCCAGAGGGUGACGGUACCUCCAGAAGAAGCCCCGGCUAACUACGUGCCAGCCGCCGCGGUAA
rnacentral:rRNA from 1 species